CAUGGUGCAUUUCAUUUUUAGUUUAAGCNUUUCAUUUUAAUAUUUGGAUGUUUAUCUGUUGCAUUGCUCAGUUUAAUGUUUUAGCGUUUUGUUUUCAAGUUCGGAUGAAUUCUGCAUUUCUAGUUUUGUUGCUUUAGACUGUUUAGUCUUUGAUUGUGUCGUUCGACUUGUCUUCAUUUCCGGUCCGUUCAUUUUAAUUUUAUGUUCACUUUGAUGAUUUAAAUUAUGUUUGGUGCGUUUAAUGUNCAUUUUAAUUUAGUCAUUUGCAUUGACAAAUCUUUUCAAACCCCCCCUUUCGUGUCUGACCUGAUUCUGAACCGCGGUUUGGUCCUUGAGAGACGACCUAGGGGUCAUUCCCUAGCUAUACUGCAUUUCUAAUAUGCAAUCAAAUUUGAUUGGGCGGCGACACCCAUCAGUGACCAGAGAUGAAUCAAUAGAGAUGAAUGUUGAUCGAAGGGCUCAAAUAGAAGGAUGAAUAGUGACUGUCGAUUAUGAAGCUCAAAAGCGUGUAAAACAAGCUUUCUUUCCUCUUUUUCAGUUUUUAUUUUCUUCUUUUCUCAACCCUAUAAAAAGGGGUUUUUUGUUGGAAAACAGGUAGGCUUCUUUAAACACCAAAGGGGGGGGGGUGAAUUGGUGAUGUUUCAAAAAUAUGUUCUUUUUGCAAUCUUGCAAACAAAGUAUAAAGCUUUUUAAAGUUUCUUGAAAUGCAAGCAAUAAGAAAAUGUAUGCAGCGGAAAAAACGUAGUAGACUGCGUUAGAAAGAGUCUACUGGAAUGUAAAAGAUAAGGGAUAGAGAAAUUAAAAAAUAGCUUUUUAUACUGGUUUGACUAACAAUGCCUACAUCCAGUGUCCUUCCACCCGAAAGCAAAUGCACUAUAUUAGUUGCGGUUUUUACAACAAGGAAUUUAUAGAAGACCUCCACGUCAAAAAUAUAAAUCUCCUCUCUAACCCAAAACCAAAUUAUAGCUAAACAACAAAGCUAGAAUUGCAGCAAGAAUCCCCUCUUCUGUAAUCUACAACACCACUUUGAACAAUCCUCAAAGUGCACUAUCCCC
rnacentral:lncRNA from 1 species